rnacentral:rRNA from 2 species
AAAUUGAAGAGUUUGAUCAUGGCUCAGAUUGAACGCUGGCGGCAGGCCUAACACAUGCAAGUCGAACGGUAACAGGAAGCAGCUUGCUGCUUCGCUGACGAGUGGCGGACGGGUGAGUAAUGUCUGGGAAGCUGCCUGAUGGAGGGGGAUAACUACUGGAAACGGUAGCUAAUACCGCAUAAUGUCGCAAGACCAAAGAGGGGGACCUUCGGGCCUCUUGCCAUCGGAUGUGCCCAGAUGGGAUUAGCUUGUUGGUGGGGUAACGGCUCACC